GCCUGGGUAGCUGAGUCGUUCAGCAUCGGACUUCGGCUCAGGUCAUGAUCUGACAGUUCGUGAGUUCAAGUCCCACAUCAGGUG
rnacentral:tRNA from 1 species